CGUGGGUGAUGAAGGCCUUUGGGUCGUAAAGCCCUGUCGGGAGGGAAGAAAUCUCGUCGGUCUAAUAUACCGACGACUUGACGGUACCUCUUAAGGAAGCACCGGCUAACUCCGUGCCAGCAGCCGCGGUAAUACGGAGGGUGCAAGCGUUGUUCGGAAUCACUGGGCGUAAAGCGCGUGUAGGCGGCCAUUUAAGUCUGGUGUGAAAGCCCUGGGCUCAACUCAGGAAGUGCACUGGAUACUGGAUGGCUGGAGUACCGGAGAGGAGGGUGGAAUUCCUGGUGUAGCGGUGAAAUGCGUAGAUAUCAGGAGGAACACCGGUGGCGAAGGCGUCCCUCUGGCCGGAUACUGACGCUGAGACGCGAAAGCGUGGGGAGCAAACAGGAUUAGAUACCCUGGUAGUCCACGCCAUAAACGAUGGGUACUAGGUGUUCGGGGUAUUGACCCCCUGAGUGCCGCAGCUAACGCAUUAAGUACCCCGCCUGGGGAAUACGGCCGCAAGGUUA
rnacentral:rRNA from 1 species